rnacentral:rRNA from 1 species
UACGUAGGGUCCGAGCGUUGUCCGGAAUUAUUGGGCGUAAAGGGCUCGUAGGCGGUUUGUCGCGUCGGGAGUGAAAACCCACAGCUUAACUGUGGGCUUGCUUUCGAUACGGGCAGACUUGAGGCAUGCAGGGGAGAACGGAAUUCCUGGUGUAGCGGUGAAAUGCGCAGAUAUCAGGAGGAACACCGGUGGCGAAGGCGGUUCUCUGGGCCUGUACUGACGCUGAGGAGCGAAAGCGUGGGGAUCAAACAGG